rnacentral:rRNA from 1 species
UGAGGAAUCUUGCGCAAUGGGGGAAAUCCUGACGCAGCAACGCCGCGUGAGUGAGGAAGGUCUUCGGAUCGUAAAGCUCUGUCAGUUGGAAAGAAAUGUCUGAGAGUCAAUCCCUUUCAGGCUUGACGGUACCAACAGAGGAAGCACCGGCUAACUCCGUGCCAGCAGCCGCGGUAAUACGGGGGGUGCAAGCGUUGUUCGGAGUUAUUGGGCGUAAAGAGCGUGUAGGCGGCCGGAUACGUCAGAUGUGAAAGCCCCGGGCUUAACCCGGGAAGUGCAUUUGAAACUGUCCGGCUCGAGUAGGGGAGAGGGAAGUGGAAUUCCUGGUGUAGAGGUGAAAUUCGUAGAUAUCAGGAGGAACACCGGUGGCGAAGGCGACUUCCUGGCCCUAUACUGACGCUGAGACGCGAGAGCGUGGGUAGCAAACAG